CAAAUCAUAGAUACCCAAUCUAUGGCCAUACUGCCUGAUCUCAUCUAACCUCAGAAGCUAAGCAGGAAUGGUCCAGUUAAUAUUGGAUGGGAGACCACCUGGAAAUGCCAUGUAUAGGCUUUUA
ensembl:rRNA 5S_rRNA 5S ribosomal RNA